rnacentral:lncRNA from 1 species
UGGCCUCAAGAUCUAGCUCAAUAACUUUUUGUCCUGAAAGAAGUUGAAGCGAGACAAUGCCAAAACUGUAAAUAUCACUGGCACAGGUUAGCUUGGCAUUGCUCAUGUACUCUGGAUCCAUGUAACCUAUCGUUCCUCUGACUUCAGUAAAAACUUUGCUCUCCUCCAUGUUCAGGAUUUUCGCCAGCCCAAAAUCCGAGAGCUUUGGUUCCAAGUUCUCAGUCAAGAGGAUGUUGGUAAGCUGCGAAUCAAGCUCGCACCAUUAUAAACAUCCAACCAAGCAAAGCCACCGCAUAAUUUGGUUUCCAGCUUUGCGUGCAAGCCAUUUUCUUUGUACCAUUUGUCAGACGUGUAAGUCGUUGCUUUGUCCAGUGAAAAUAGGAAAGAUACGC